rnacentral:rRNA from 1 species
GAUGAACGCUGGCGGCGUGCCUAAUACAUGCAAGUCGAGCGAACAGACGAGGAGCUUGCUCCUUCGACGUUAGCGGCGGACGUGUGAGUAACACGUAGGUAACCUACCUAUAAGACUGGGAUAACUUCGGGAAACCGGAGCUAAUACCGGAUAAUAUUUCGAACCGCAUGGUUCGAUAGUGAAAGAUGGCUUUGCUAUCACUUAUAGAUGGACCUGCGCCGUAUUAGCUAGUUGGUAAGGUAACGGCUUACCAAGGCAACGAUACGUAGCCGACCUGAGAGGGUGAUAGGCCACACUGGAACUGAGACACGGUCCAGACUACUACGGGAGGCAGCAGUAGGGAAUGUUCCGCAAUGGGCGAAAGCAUGACGGAGCAACGCCGCGUGAGUGAUGAAGGUCUUCGGAUCGUAAAACUCUGUUAUUAGGGAAGAACAAACGUGUAAGUAACUGUGCACGUCUUGACGGUACCUAAUCAGAAAGCCACGGCUAACUACGUG